GUGAGGAAUUUUCCGCAAUGGGCGAAAGCCUGACGGAGCAAUGCCGCGUGAAGGAUGAAGGCCUAUGGGUUGUAAACUUCUUUUCUCAGAAAAGAAUUAUGACGGUAUCUGAGGAAUAAGCAUCGGCUAACUCUGUGCCAGCAGCCGCGGUAAGACAGAGGAUGCAAGCGAUAUCCGGAAUGAUUGGGCGUAAAGCGUCUGUAGGUUGUUUAAAAAGUAUUCUGUCAAAGAUUAGGGCUUAACCCUAGAUAGGCAGAAUAAAGUUGUAAACUAGAGCUUGGUAGAGGUAGAGGCAAUUCCCGGUGAAGCGGUGAAAUGCGUAGAUAUCGGGAGGAACACCAAAGGCGAAGGCACUCUGCUGGGCCAAUACUAACACUGAGAGACGAAAGCGAGGGGAGCAAAUGGGAUUAGAUACCCCAGUAGUCC
rnacentral:rRNA from 1 species